rnacentral:rRNA from 1 species
CUACGGGGGGCAGCAGUGGGGAAUAUUGGACAAUGGGGGAAACCCUGAUCCAGCAAUGCCGCGUGUGUGAAGAAGGCCUGCGGGUUGUAAAGCACUUUCGGUUGGGAGGACUGCUUCUAGCACUAAUAUUGUUGGAAGUUGACGUUACCUUCAGAAGAAGCACCGGCUAACUCCGUGCCAGCAGCCGCGGUAAUACGGAGGGUGCAAGCGUUAAUCGGAAUUACUGGGCGUAAAGCGCGCGUAGGCGGCUAGAUCAGUCGGGUGUGAAAGCCCCGGGCUUAACCUGGGAACUGCAUCCGAUACUGUCUAGCUUGAGUACAGGGGAGGAGAGUGGAAUUCCACAUGUAGCGGUGAAAUGCGUAGAUAUGUGGAGGAACACCAAUGGCGAAGGCAGCUCUCUGGCCUGAUACUGACGCUGAGGUGCGAAAGCGUGGGAAGCAAACAGGAUUAGAUACCCCCGUAGUC